GCCAGUGUAGUAUAGUGCCUUGAACAUUGGACUGCGACUCUGGAGACCAGGGUUCGAAUCCCUGCUCAGCCA